rnacentral:rRNA from 1 species
CGCCAGACUCCUACGGGAGGCAGCAGUGGGGGAUAUUGCACAAUGGGGGGAACCCUGAUGCAGCGACGCCGCGUGGGUGAAGAAGCGCCUCGGCGCGUAAAGCCCUAUCGGCAGGGAAGAAGGAGGACGGUACCUGACUAAGAAGCCCCGGCUAACUACGUGCCAGCAGCCGCGGUAAUACGUAGGGGGCAAGCGUUAUCCGGAUUUACUGGGUGUAAAGGGGGCGCAGACGGCAGCGCAAGCCAGGAGUGAAAGCCCGGGGCCCAACCCCGGGACUGCUCUUGGAACUGCGCGGCUGGAGUGCAGGAGGGGCAGGCGGAAUUCCUGGUGUAGCGGUGAAAUGCGUAGAUAUCAGGAGGAACACCGGCGGCGAAGGCGGCCUGCUGGACCGCGACUGACGUUGAGGCUCGAAAGCGUGGGGAGCGAACAGGAUUAGAUACCCUUGUA